GACGAACCGUGCGAACGUUGUUCGGAAUCACUGGGCUUAAAGGGCGCGUAGGCGGCUCGCGAGGUCGGGGGUGAAAUCCCACGGCUUAACCGUGGAAGGGCCUUCGAUACCGGCGGGCUCGAGGAAGGUAGGGGUGCGCGGAACUUCUGGUGGAGCGGUGAAAUGCGUUGAUAUCAGAAGGAACGCCGGCGGCGAAAGCGGCGCACUGGAUCUUUUCUGACGCUGAGGCGCGAAAGCCCAGGGGAGCAAACGGG
rnacentral:rRNA from 1 species